AAAGAAUGUAACGUAAUUUAUUACCCGUUGAAUGACUCUCUACUUUUGAAUUCGUUGAUUGAAUACGUCGAGACUGGCGGAGGGCCACGCUAGGCUGAUGUACAGAUCGAAGGUUGAACUGAUGGACGCCAUAUUUGUGGUUAAGUUAAUCGGUACAGGACAUUCGUCUAAGGCUGAUACUGGAGGCUCAUUUCCGGAGGAUCCGAUGGCAACAUAUCAAUCUGAAGGUAGAAUAAUACUGAGAACUAUUGGCCUGGAACAACUGGAGAAUCUACUGUGAACGGUUGUGCUUCUAAGUUCCUGCGAAAUACUCGAUCCGAACGGAAGAGAUGGUCUCUGUGUGUAAACUAAAUCUUUUAUUUGUCACUUAAGUCUCUCUUUUUUUUUAUAUACUCGCUUACAUAAGUACAAAUACACCAGCAUAUUUAUAAAAUUUAAACAACCAUUUCCUUCCUGUUUGUACAAAACGAAUUUACUUUGUUGCUCAUCGCCAUUCAAUAAAUAUGUGGUCAAUCAUUAGAAUGAAUUUAAACAUCGUGUAAAAAUAGAUCUCGCGACAGCAGGAUCUGUUUGAUACCAGUCUCGACUAACAACGAGGUCCUGGAACCGUCCGCGUUCCCAGUUUUCCCUUUCUCUCGUUCCUCCCAGGCAAUUAUACUUGAUACACAGCGAUCCAAGUCGACUCGAGACGAUCAGACAUACACCCGGUUAAAGUAACGGCAACGAUCUAACCCAAUGUUCCCGUAGUCUAUAAAUAACGUAUCGUUCGUUAAUAAAUAAUGAAAACAUGCGAGAUCGUUCCCUCGCGGGAACCUUAAACCUUUACAAGAGCGAUCGAACAUUAUAUCAAGGAUCUGAAUAACAAGUAGCUUAAUAAAGAAAGGCCAUAUAUUACACAUUUGUGAGGAAUGUCACAGGACGAAUGUCGUCGGAGGGAGUAGAUUAAAAGGACAUCGACAUUUUCAUGUAUAAUAAUAAUUCAUCAUUAAAUUAACGAUUAAAUCGGUCAACAAUAUUGGACAAUUAUAAACUCUAUACUCGUGGACACGACUGUUCCAAUUAUUUGCGUUCUCUUUCUUUCUUUCUUUCUCUCUUUCCUUCUCUCUCUCUUUUUGAUUUUCAGCAAAAACCGAGGUGCGUUUCCCGUUCGAGAAAGCCGCG